rnacentral:rRNA from 1 species
UUCGUCCUACGGGGGGAAGCAGUGGGGAAUAUUGGACAAUGGGGGGAACCCUGAUCCAGCGACGCCGCGUGAGUGAAGAAGUAUUUCGGUAUGUAAAGCUCUAUCAGCAGGGAAGAAAGAAAUGACGGUACCUGACUAAGAAGCCCCGGCUAACUACGUGCCAGCAGCCGCGGUAAUACGUAGGGGGCAAGCGUUAUCCGGAUUUACUGGGUGUAAAGGGAGCGUAGACGGUUACGCAAGUCUGGAGUGAAAGGCGGGGGCCACACCCCCGGACUGCUGUGGAAAAUGUC